GUUAAGGGCCGGAAGUGAAGGAAGGGAAGGAAACGUGAGAAUUGGAUGGAGAAGCGGGCGAAAUGCAGGCCCGCUCCCGCGGGCGGCCUUCCCACGCACCUAUACCGUGGAAGCGGGCGACUCCGGAGCGCGGCUGUGGAAAGGCUCUGUGGGGUCACUGCCCUUUCUAGGUUCUUCUGUAAGAGCGACGUCCCCUUUGGAUCACCCGUCCUCCCCUCUCCGGAUGACCGAGUCCUCACGACCUCCGGGGGCCGCCAGCGCCCAGACGCCUCCCGGGCUCAGAACGAGGAGCACUCCAGGGGUCACGUUUACCUGUCGUUUGCUUGCGACCUAUACUUUUUCUGAGUUUGUCUGCUGGGAUCGCGGGGCCUUUCAGAGCUGGGCCAGUGCAGGAGGUCGCCCUUUUUAAAAUAAGAGUUUUAACAUCCAACGAAGAAAAAGUCACUUACUUGGGGUAGGAGGGGGUUAGAAAGGCGUGUGUCACUCCACAGAGAGAUGCCGUCAGCGUGUGAGGGCACAUCGCGGGGACCAAUAGGCCCUGGGUAAGGACUGGGAGGACGGCGAGGACGGGGAGGAGAGGCCGCUGACGGGAGCGGAUAUGACGGCUCCUCCUGCGUGGAGUCGCGGUGCGGCGAGUGGGGCUGUGUUCAGGUGACGGCCUACGGUGAAUCCGGCCACAUGCAGCAGCUUUCUGCUUUCAGGUUUGGUGACUCCUGUCCGAGGGCCUAACCAGUAACAGGCCCCCUAGCUGCAGCCAGGAGGCACUAGCCAUCAAGGGAGGCAGCUAACGUGUGGCUCAGGAUCAGACAGGAUGAGUACUUAGCAUAGUCACCAGGACCUCAUGCCUGCAUGUCAAAGACAGCAAGUUUUCUCUCCUUAAAAGUUUUAACUUGGGAAUGUGGCCAUCCCACUGCAGACUACAUCUUCCCAACUCUCUAGGAGCUAGGUGUGGGUGAUUAAAUAAUGGCCAGUGGAAACUAAGUCAAAGGGAUGUGUACCACUUAGGCGAAGCCCAUAAAGACAUCCCUUGCCUUUCUCUUUUCUCUGAGAGGUGACCAUGGGAACAGGCAACUUGAACUCUAAAACUUUAGUAUUGUGAUCCCCUCCCAGCUCUGGUACGAUGAACUCUGUAAAAUGAGAAAAAUAAGUGUACAUUGUGUUUAA